CCUACGGGCGGCAGCAGUGAGGAAUAUUGGUCAAUGGACGAGAGUCUGAACCAGCCAAGUAGCGUGAAGGAUGACUGCCCUAUGGGUUGUAAACUUCUUUUAUAAAGGAAUAAAACGAGGCACGUGUGCCUUUUUGCAUGUACUUUAUGAAUAAGGAUCGGCUAACUCCGUGCCAGCAGCCGCGGUAAUACGGAGGAUCCGAGCGUUAUCCGGAUUUAUUGGGUUUAAAGGGAGCGUAGAUGGGUUGUUAAGUCAGUUGUGAAAGGUUGCGGCUCAACCGUAAAAUUGCAAUUGAUACUGGCAGUCUUGAGUACAGUUGAGGUAGGCGGAAUUCGUGGUGUAGCGGUGAAAUGCUUAGAUAUCACGAAGAACCCCGAUUGCGAAGGCAGCUUACUAAACUGUGACUGACAUUGAUGCUCGAAAGUGUGGGUAUCAAACAGGAUUAGAUACCCUGGUAGUC
rnacentral:rRNA from 1 species